rnacentral:lncRNA from 1 species
GGGUAACAAGGUGUGGGUGAGCUAUAUUAUCAUAUGUUUAUUAAAUUGGUGGUGGCAAGGAUCUAACCACAGCCAUAUCAUGUGCUUUUAUUUUUCCUACCUAAGGUGUACAUACUUUGCAAGAUCUAUCUUUUCCAAUGAUUCUAUGUCUUAUCAAAUACUUGAUAUAAGGCGUUCCCCAAAUAGGAGGCUCUUUGUACGUGUCAUUCACGUUAGAGCGCAUCACGUUUCCUAACAAAAGAGAUUACGUAGCACCACCAAAUAUUGGAACCUAAAAGGAACUUGGAGCUUACUGCUCAACCCCCUGCCUUCUCACAGGGCAGCUGGUGAGUACCACCCUGAAGACAGACAAAGCUGCAGUCGUUGUGAACCCUGCCCCUUCCAUGGUGUUCUCCCAGGAUAUCCUAUUCAUAGGGUUACACACUUGGAACUCGGUCUGUUUGGAUAAGGGAAACAUCUCCCUUACUUAUUAGUGAUCCUAAAUAUUGUUAACAUGACUCCCUAUACUCCCUUAAGCAGAGAAGUUGAGAGAGACAUUAUAAUGUGCCUAGAGGCAUCUGUUAAAGCAAAGGACCUGCUGUCAGUAGAAAAUGAGAAUCCCUACGACCUUCCCAAACAGAAAGCUGUCCAGUCCCCUCUGGUUAAUGUGAAAUUUAAUUAAUAUCACUGUAUCUAGCAAAAAAAAAAAGCACUAUUUUUCCUCUGCCUAGAGUUAGAAUAUUUAUAAUAGGCCCUUUUUUUUUUCCUAAAGGAUCAACAAGACUUUCCAAAGAGUAAAACACAAAUCCAUAUUCAAUUUUCUUCCAAUUAUGGAGAAAUAAACCAACUUCAGGUCUUCCUUAUGUAGGUACUAACUGUGAGUUCGAUGCCUUUUUAAUCUCAUGAGAAAAUAGCUAAAGAUCACCUUCCUCUGCAGAGGCAGGAACUACAUAUGCCUAAAAAGGGAAUCUUUGAAAAUUCUUAAAUUAAUUCUCGUGCCGUUUUCCCUAUUCUAUUUCAAAUCAAUUUCCUAUUUUCUCACAC